GCGGGGAUGCCGGACUCGAGCUCACACAGCGCGCGGAAGUUGUGCAGCUCGAAGUCGGCGUCGACCUGGAGGGAAAAGGUCACCUCGGAGAGGUCCCUCCGCACACAGUACACGCAAGUACAGCCGCCACCACCCGCCUGCAACUUCGCCUGCCUGCCUGCCGGCCUGCCUGCCUCCCACCGCUGCCGCCAAGCGCGCCAGCCGCCCGGCGCCCCGCCCCGCCGCAACGCCGAUGCCGUAAAGCCCGCCUGACCCGCUCCGCCUUCGCGGCGCAGCGGAGGGGCGGAGCUGGGAAGGGGAGGCGGGAAGUAGGAGAGGAUUGCAGGGCUCUGGGGACGGGAGAGGGUGGAAGGGCGAGGAAAGGGGAGCAAACGAAGAGAAAGAAAUAAGUAUUAAUUGCUUGAUUUAGUAAGUGACGUCCGUGGAGGACUCCAAAAUCUCAUUUAUUCAUCCGACAGGCAUUUAUUGAGCGCGUGUUGGCAAAUAGCCACGUGGGUACAAAAAUGCGUAAAAAUACAGGUCUUUGCCCUU